rnacentral:rRNA from 1 species
GACGAACGCUGGCGGCGUGCUUAACACAUGCAAGUCGAACGGAAAGGCCCUGCUUGCAGGGUACUCGAGUGGCGAACGGGUGAGUAACACGUGGGUGAUCUGCCCUGCACUUCGGGAUAAGCCUGGGAAACUGGGUCUAAUACCGGAUAGGAGCCAUUUUUAGGGUGAUGGUUGGAAAGUUUUUUCGGUGUAGGAUGAGCUCGCGGCCUAUCAGCUUGUUGGUGGGGUAAUGGCCUACCAAGGCGGCGACGGGUAGCCGGCCUGAGAGGGUGGACGGCCACAUUGGGACUGAGAUACGGCCCAGACUCCUGCGGGAGGCAGCAGUGGGGAAUAUUUCACAAUGGGCGCAAGCCUGAUGCAGCGACGCCGCGUGGGGGAUGACGGCCUUCGGGUUGUAAACUCCUUUCGCUAGGGACGAAGCUUUUUGUGACGGUACCUAGAGAAGAAGCACCGGCUAACUACGUG